UAUAUAUAAAUAAAUAAAUGUUUCGCAUUUUUAGUGUAGGUAGAUCUCUUCGACUGGUCAUGUUAAUAGUAGCUCGCAAGUCAAAAAAGUGUGGGCACCCCUGAUAUAUAGCAUUAGUAAUAACUAAAAAAACGGUGUAAUUACCAGUCUUGCCUCCCCACAAAGUCUGUAGGUUUGUGCUGUGUUUGUAUGUGUGAUCUGAGCGCCAUCCGGUGGACAGACGACAUUUUUAUUUGAUACUCGCGCCAUUUUUGCGUUGUGUAUGGGCGCAACCAAGUGCAUAAUUGGAGGGGGGCACUCACCCAUUUUCCUUAACAAACGGAAAUAUAUUAAAAAUGAGUAGACGUAAAUAAAUAGAAUAGAUGAAAAGACAGAUCAGUUUGAAAGGUUCAUUAAAGGGGGACAUAUAGAAAACAUUUUCUACUGUAUAUUGGGAGGGAAAGAUUGGUAUUACCUCAACAUUGGCGGGGACACGCCCCCCCCUCAAAAAGAAUACGUGGUUACGCCCAUAGUUGUAGGAGACACAGCAGCGACGGAGUCGGAGUAGGAGACACAUUUUUCCUCAGGAGUCACGACACAGCAGACACGGGGUUUUCUUUCUUCAAUUUUAACUUUUCUCAGGAGUUUAAGUCAUCUGGUGGGCGUGGUUGAGUGCGCAGGUGCGUCAUUCAAACCGAGCGAGAUGACCGUUGAGGAUCAGACAGCGCGAGACAGCUCCUUUCAGGGUGGUUCCUACUAGGUCUGCUAAUGGGACCGCCCUCCUGACUGGCUGCCUAUAAAGUCACCCGCUCUAGCGGUGCUGAGCAGCGAGAUGUCACAGAGAAGAGUGUGUCCAGUUUGUCGGCGUUUCUACACCAACGUGCAGGCUCAUCUCGCCCAGAUUCAUCAGCAGGGUCCAGAGGAACGCUGGCUUCACCUGGCGGCAGCGAGCGAGCGGGUGAUAUGCGGGUGCUCUGGACUGCCCGGUGUCUGCAUGUGGCAAGAAAGGUUUCCGCCGGCUAGACUGCCACCUGUUCCACCUUCACCAGCUCGCCGGGGACACGGUCAGGAAGCUACUGCUCAGCGCCAAAAUAAAGCUGCAACAACUGCAAGCUUUCGGUGAGACGAACAAAUCUAAAAGUUGCAAAUGUUCUGAACUGAUCGAAAAGUAGCAAAACUCUCCGCAGAAUUUGAGCGGCUGCAAGCGAUAGUAGCCCGGAAAGAGUAGUGGCUCUGUGGAGCCAAUGUUAAGUGUACACGGCUUGGCUGACAAGUCUCAGAGAUGUCCCCAAAGCCGCGGCCAACGGCAAGCAGGAGAGGAGACACGUCGAGCGCUUCCUUCACUUUAUGUGGGCCAACACAGACAGUCCCCUGGCAGCUGCUGGCUCAUUACCCAAAAACACUUAAAAUUUAACAUAGAAGCCAAUACUCACAUCAACCUCUGAACCCAGUUGGAGAUAGAAAAAAAGACACCAGCCGUGAGUGAGAAGAAGCAAGGGUCCAGAUUUAUUGUUCCGUUCCACCACACGAGAUCCACACCGAUGAGAAUUCUCAGAAGUGAUCUGAUACCCUGAGCUUAAGCUCCAGUAUUUAUACUGUAAUUACACAGUAAAUAACCCAUAUGUUUCAAGAAGACUAUGAUAUCAAUACCAAUAGGGUUAAAAAAGAGCUAUUCAACUUACCAUUAGCUCAAAAAACAGGGCUUUUCAACUUACAAAUAUAAUCAAAACCAAGGGUUUUCAAAUAACCAUUAGCUUCAAAAGUGGAGAGAUAAAACAAUCUAGAGUGACCUUGGUCUUACUAUUAUCUCGCUGGGGGGGGGCAGCUUGACUCAGCUACCCUUAUAAAUGGCUCCUCAUGGUUUUCUCUUAAAAUUAAGGCCUUCCUUGCGAGACAAGAAUCUUCACCAUCUGAAUUAUGAGUAAGUUACAUUUUCCUGUAUUUCUAGUUUAUAAUUUAUUUUCAUAUUUGCUCUAUAUCUCUAUUUUAUAUAUAGUUAUACUGCUUGAAAAACGAUUUACUGUACUUCCUACUUCAUAAAAUCAUUAUAUUACCCUUCUACUGUCCUACAUAUCCUACUAUUCUGUAUUUUAUAGAGUUUUCUAUUAUUAUAAGAUAUUACCCUUAUAAUAUCUUAAUACUCCUUUUUAUUAUUCUUAUAAAGUUAUAAUGUUAUAUGUGUGUGUGUGUGUGUGUGUGUAUUAUGUCUACAUGCCCGCCCUUGACUGUACGAGAGUGUGUGUGUGUGUGUGUGUGUGUGUGUGUGUGUGUCUGUGUUAGCACUCCUCAGCUCUUAUACUUCUGUUUGACUCUUCGACUAUUAAACCAUAGUGUAGUACUCUUAAAGAUCUUUAAAGUGGAAAUCCAAUUUGUCAAUAUCUGCCUAAUACCGCUUCUGUAUGUCUAGGUGCCCAUCGUCAUUCCUUCUUCUCCCCUUUACUGGAUCUGGAUCUGGACACUCAUUAUCAGCUUGCGCAUCUAACUGCUGAUAUCAUGGUGCUACUUAACUAUCUUCGCAGCACCCCCUCUGGAAAUGGAAAUGCGGGGUCCGUCCGCCCCCCCGAUACAAAAUCUGCCCCGUGAACGUGUGUAUUGACGCCUCUACACAGCCAAAACCCCCCUCCAGCUUUCAAUCUGAGGAAGAUGUCACCUUCUCUGACCUGGUCCCCGACCAUUCUUCCCUCUUCUCACCUACCAGUCCGCCCCGUUCUCAGUGGUCCUCUCACUUCACCUUUGCUGACUUUCCCAUGUUCCCAGGACGCACCCCAUUUUCUUCCCCCCACCACUCUCCUCAAGAUUACGCACCCACCAGUCCUGUGAAUUAUCAAUAAAACUACAUAUUACUCAUACUAAGUGUCCCUCAUGUUUAUUUCAUGUCAUUUUUAUCCACAACACAGCCCACUUGAAGUACAUCGACAAUGUCUCGAGAGUCCUUGAAUGGAUGAAAUCACUGUGCCAGCGGUACAAGGUCACUCCGGCCAAGUUAUUUCUGACGCGUGUUUCCAAGUUCCUCCAUUAACUCGAUGAGUAACUGUCCAAGGGCCGAGUUGGCUCCACGAGGCUGUGGAGUCUCCAGAGACUGCUGCAGUGGGAGUGCAGACAUCUGUCCGGUCGAGUCGUGCUCCACAGGCAAGGCGUGCGAGCGGAGAAGAGUGAGGGAGUACUUACAGCUCCUGCACGGCAAACUGUUGGACGCUGUCCCUGUUUCACUGGCUGAUCUGAACUCGUCCAGCAGACCCGGACAUGCUCAACCAUUGCAUCGGGCUGCUGUGUGCUCACUUCUUUUCGGUCAGCGGACACAGGACCGGAGUCCUGCAGAACCUCACGACUGAGGAGUUUGAGAACCUCGAGAAGGCUGACUCUUUCUGAUCAAUGUGAAGCAGCACAAACCUGCCUCUGCUUUUGGACUCGCUAAGCUAGCCAUCACCAAGCUGGAGCUGAAGUGGCUGAAAGCUUUCUGCCGCCUGAGGAAGCAUAUGCCGGGAUAUGAGACUUCUGUGGGGUGGCUUUUCUUUUCUGGCACACAGGCCAGGAUUUCUGCGCAUGUCAAGCUUGCCCUGCGGGCACUCGUGGGAAGAGACAUCACUGUGUCGGACAUCCGCACAGCUCUAGCAACCUACUGCGAACGCAAAAGACGAACAACGCAUGCUCGUGACCAAGACGAUGUGCUACAGCAAUUUGCUGAGUCGUGGAGCUGUCGGUCAGCGAGGCGCACUCCGCCCAGUCUGCGCUAGAGUCCGCUGCGGGCAUAGGUGCUACAUAGGCCGGUUGUUUUUGGCUAAUGGCCCUGUGUGUGUGUGUGUGUGUGUGUGUGUGUGUGUGUGUGUAAAUAUUUCAUUAAAAUGUUUGAACUGAA